rnacentral:lncRNA from 1 species
CUGAGAACGGUUUCCAUCACUGCUUUCUGCAGUUGUUGCACAGCAUUGCUGCAGCCCCUGCCUUGCUCUGAAUGGUCACAUAAUAGAAAUGAAGGAUAUUAAACACAAGGAAAUCACAUUGUGUUCUUGGGCUCGGUUUGCCUUUUAUUGUGUUUAUUCAAGAGGAGUUUGGGGCAUUCUAUUAGUUAUCUGUAUAACAGAAUAGAUUUAAGAGGCAGCUCUGGCAGGAGAUGUCACACCAGCUUGCAAGUGGGACUCAUGAGGCACCAGAAGAGGAGAUGGAAGGCUUUACUCAAAGCAUUGGGAAGCACAGAAGGGACAAAUGCCUGAAUGUUCUGGGCUGUGAUUGGGUUCUUUGGUUCAGGUGGCAGCAGCAAUAGAAAUGGAUUUAGAGAUGUGUAGCUGUAAUAACUUAUCUGUGUUCCCCUUUCCUGCCCAUAGCUCACUUCAGGCAACUUGCCUGGGCUGCAGCUCCCGUCGCAUCAGCCACACUGAGUGUUGCACAGCCGUGGGCACAAGGAAAGAGGAAACCUCCAUGCUAGAACUUUGUCACCUCUGGUUCAUCACACAGCAACAUCUGACGCCUCAAAGCCUGACACGCUCUAAAAAAGCUCUUCCCACUGCCCAGCUCUGCCUGGAUCUGGGACAUCUGGCACUGGGGACAUCUCCAGCAGUCCCGCUCUGCUCGCUGAGUGUGCGGCGAUGGAUUUCUCGUGGCCCCGUGUGCUGAGUGUUGAGCAGUGCCUGCUCUAGCCUGAGAGCGG